UUUAUAAAAUUAGUAAAUUUCAUUUAAAUUAAGAUCACUUUUAAAUUAGGAUCACUUCAUAAAUGAAAUAAUAUCUAUCUUCCUUCCAUGAUGAAGUAAUGGGGAUCAGAUUUACUGUUCUGUUUUAAACAACCACCAAAAAAACCCAUCAAAGUGUAUGGAACAAUGAUUCCCAGACCUUAAACAACAGAUGGCACCCCAUCUCCUAGGAGAGCAACCCCUAGGAGACGACAAACCAACCAGGCUCAGCGAAUCACACCCCUCUCUGGCCUACAUUUGGGAGCUGAUGUGCAGAAAAGCAAGGACAGCAGAUGCGUAUUUUGGCGGCAGAGAAGAGCCUCGUGGACAGAGGCAACAAUGGACAAUAAGAUGUGACCGAGAGGGGCUGGCUGGUACGAGUGCUGCGGUGUAUAUAACUAUGGGUCACGACAGAUUUCUUUGUUCUUUCCCCACUCCCACUGCUUCCUUUGACUAACUUAAAAAAGAAUAUGGACAACAGGGAAGAAAAGUUAAGAAAAGCAGAGAGUUGAUCCAGAAGGCCUGAUAUAUACCUCUUAGGUGUGGUGCACAUUAAGUGCAGAAAGUCUGAAUGUGAUGUCGUGGGAGGAAACUCCCAAGAGCAUCGUAUGAGAAACAUUUCCAGAAACAGAGGCAAGAAUAUCCCAAUUGGAAGGUCUUCCUCUCAGUGUUCAGAAAAUUGGGUGAAAGUACGCCUAGCCAAAACACAGCAUGCCCAGGAACUAGGGUUCUCUAAGACCCAGCCUCUAACAGUCCUGAAAGGCCUGGGUAGGUCCACUUUGACCCUGGCCCCUGGGGAUCAGGCUGGGAGGUGGCUCACAGCCCAGCCUCAUCUUCUGUUUGCAGACAGCAGGAACUAAUGAGGCAGGAGAAUAGGGAAUUAGAGUCACGGGGGUUAAGGCAGAAGCAAAAGGACAGCAGGUGCAGCCAGUUCUAGGCAGCACACAGGCCACAUCCUCACUCCCGUGAUAACAAGACAGCAGUUUCCACUUCAGCCCCGGCUUUGCAGUGGCUCAUACCUGUAAUCCCAACACUUUGGGAGGCUGAGGCGGGUGGA
rnacentral:lncRNA from 1 species